GAUGAACGCUGGCGGCGUGCCUAAUACAUGCAAGUCGAGCGAACAGACGAGGAGCUUGCUCCUCUGACGUUAGCGGCGGACGGGUGAGUAACACGUGGAUAACCUGUCUAUAAGACUGGGAUAACUUCGGGAAACCGGAGCUAAUACCGGAUAAUAUAUUGAACCGCAUGGUUCAAUAGUGAAAGACGGUUUUGCUGUCACUUAUAGAUGGAUCCGCGCCGCAUUAGCUAGUUGGUAAGGUAACGGCUUACCAAGGCAACGAUGCGUAGCCGACCUGAGAGGGUGAUCGGCCACACUGGAACUGAGACACGGUCCAGACUCCUACGGGAGGCAGCAGUAGGGAAUCUUCCGCAAUGGGCGAAAGCCUGACGGAGCAACGCCGCGUGAGUGAUGAAGGUCUUCGGAUCGUAAAACUCUGUUAUUAGGGAAGAACAAAUGUGUAAGUAACUAUGCACGUCUUGACGGUACCUAAUCAGAAAGCCACGGCUAACUACGUG
rnacentral:rRNA from 1 species